GCAUCGAUAGAUCAGUGGUACAGCGCAGCGGUGGGGCGUUUACCUAUGCGGCCCGGGUUCGAUCCCCGGUCGAUGCA